UAACACAUGCAAGUCGAGCGAGGAGAGUUCCUCGGGAUGAUCCUAGCGGCGGACGGGUGAGUAACACGUGGGCAACCUGCCUCAUAGAGAGGAAUAGCCUUCCGAAAGGGAGAUUAAUACCUCAUAACAUUGCAGUUUCGCAUGGAACAGCAAUUAAAGGAGUAAUCCGCUAUGAGAUGGGCCCGCGGCGCAUUAGCUAGUUGGUGAGGUAACGGCUCACCAAGGCGACGAUGCGUAGCCGACCUGAGAGGGUGAUCGGCCACAUUGGGACUGAGACACGGCCCAGACUCCUACGGGAGGCAGCAGUAGGGAAUCUUCCGCAAUGGACGAAAGUCUGACGGAGCAACGCCGCGUGAGUGAAGAAGGGUUUUUUCCGGAUCGUAAAACUCUGUUGUCAGAGAAGAACAAGUUGGAGAGUAACUGCUCCAGCCUUGACGGUAUCUGACCAGAAAGCCACGGCUAACUACGUGCCAGCAGCAGC
rnacentral:rRNA from 1 species